ensembl:piRNA 21ur-3853 ncRNA
UUUUGGGAAAUCAAAAUGUGC